UACGUAGGAGGCGAGCGUUGUCCGGAGUUACUGGGCGUAAAGCGCGCGCAGGCGGUCAGAUUAGUCUGUCGUGACAGUCGUCGGCUCAACUGACGAAGUACGAUGGAAAACUGUCUGACUUGAGGGCUUCAGAGGGACACGGAAUUCCGGGUGGAGUGGUGAAAUGCGUAGAUAUCCGGAGGAACACCAAAGGCGAAGGCAGUGUCCUGGGAAGUACCUGACGCUCAGGUGCGAAAGCUAGGGGAGCGAACAGG
rnacentral:rRNA from 1 species